rnacentral:tRNA from 12 species
GCCCAGAUGGUGAAAUUGGUAGACACGCUACUUUGAGGGGGUAGUGUCGGUUUACGACGUGCAAGUUCGAGUCUUGUUCUGGGCA